AUGCCAUUUGCUCUUAUGUUCUUCUGGGAUGUUCACAUGGUAUUUAACAAACAACUAGGUCUAGAUCAGGUCUUGACAAACUACAGAAAACUACAAUUCUGGAGCAUGCCCCUUUUUGUUUUACAGGCACACAGCCACACCCAUUUGUCUGCUUAUUAUCUCUGGCUGCUUUUGCUCUACAAUGGCAGAGGUUGGCCCCUGCCUCUUCCCUUCCUCCAGCCUCCAUCCUUUCUCCAGUGGUUUCUCAUCUCUACGUCCUCCCCGCAGACAAAUGUGAAGGAGAAAGUCUGCCAAGUCUCCCAGCCACUGUCAGCCUAGCUGACUGUAAUGCUUCCAGCAGAACCUCCAGCUCAGGGCGCUCUGGCAGGGCCUGAACUCCAAGCAGCAGGAGGGACCAGCGAGUUAUAAGAAAGGGAAAUACCAACAGUAAUCUGCAUCCUUUGAAGUUUAGGGUUGGGAAGCAGGGAAGCUGAAAGAUGUUUGACAGUUUCCCAGAGGGUACCUGGGGAAGAGCCUAGGACUGGGGGUCAGGACUGUCUUUCCCAGUUCUGCCUCAGUUUCAGUGUAGAGUUCUUGGGCUAGUCAUUUAUCAACCCUGAGUCUUUGUAAAGAGAAUUUUGUAAAAUCAAGAAAAUUUCUGUCCUGAUUUUCCUGUAAGGCUUUUGUGAUGAUCAUAUAUUUGUGAUCAUGUAUGUGAUUAAAUUUUAAAUAAAUAUUUGUUGUAUACUUUUUCCCAUUUCAAAAUUAACUUGUGCUUAUAUGUUAUAAGAACUUUUGUCAGCAGCAUCUGCCAUCCUUCACAACAGAGCCCCAAUUUCCUUUGGAGAGUUAGCUUACCACACCACUGUGUAUAAUUUUACUGAGAUGGAAAAUCCAGCUGCUUGGGCCUCCUGUAGCCAAAGAUGGGCAGUCGCUUUAGCUCAACCCAUGAAAGCUUGCUGCUGAGACUUUGACUUUUGAGCAUAUGAAAUUGGGUGAGUGAAGAGGUUGGCAUCCUUUUAUCUUGGCAGGAAUAUCCCUAGCAGAUUGUUCCCACUGCAAGACUAGUCCUGUCAUUCCUGCUUUCCCACCCCUGAAGCUGAAUUGGUUUCUGCCUAUUUCCAAGCCUAGUUCUCCAACUUUUGUGCAUUGUUUUUAAUACAUUCCCCUUUGUUUAAGUUGGCCAAAUUUGUCUGUUGCUUGUAAUCACAAAACUCCAACUGACACACAAGCCUGAGGUAGAGAACUGUUUAUGGAACACUUUUUGUGUGUGUGUGGAGAGGCAGGUGCUUUACAUAUAUUAUUUAAAUUUAUCUUUACAAAAACCCUAAGAGGUGGCUAUAAUUAUUUCUAAAUUACAAAUGAAGAAACUGGGGCUCUGCGAGGCUGAAUAACUUUCCUACAUUUGUAUGAGGAGCAAAUGAUAGAACUGGGUGUUAGAGCCCAGGUUUGAACCAACGUGUUUUGGUUCCAAACAUUUUAAUCCUUAUGCCAUGAGAAAAUGGUAUAAUGGUGGGCAUUUUAUUUUGCAGCCUGGUUUUGAGAGUAGUAAUUUAUUAUGAACAUCCUCAUGUCAAUGAUAUUCUUGAACAAUAUGACAUAUAAUGGCAAUCUCAUAGGCCUUUGUUUGGAUUCACUGCUAUUUACCUAACCAAAUUCAUAUUGAUAGACAUUAUGAAAUGUUCUGUAAUGAAUACCCUUGAACAUUAUGUACUUAUAUCAAAAUUUUUUCUGAAAAUAAGUUAUUGGAAGUGAAAUUUCUAGGUUUCAAGCUUAUGCAUAAUAUUAAGGUUUUUAA
ensembl:lncRNA